rnacentral:rRNA from 1 species
CUGGCUCAGGACGAACGCUGGCGGCGUGCCUAAUACAUGCAAGUCGAGCGAACAGAGAAGGAGCUUGCUCCUUCGACGUUAGCGGCGGACGGGUGAGUAACACGUGGGCAACCUACCUUAUAGUUUGGGAUAACUCCGGGAAACCGGGGCUAAUACCGAAUAAUCUGUUUCACCUCAUGGUGAAACACUGAAAGACGGUUUCGGC